GGGCUAGAACACAAGUGAAAGGUUUGGUGUUAGAGAGUGAAUGAAGGUGUCAGAGGCAGGGAGUAUUAGCUUACUUGGCAAAAAGUUGAAGUAUCUCCCACCUAACGGCUUUGGUUUUGUUUCGGAAAUCAAAAGCAAAAUCAUCUGCAGAGAAUCGGGAUCAGAGAAUGUGUAGGGGGAGAGCAUGUAGGGGCUGACUAGAGAGAAAGUGGGAUUGCCAGUGCUCAGCAACUUAGAUUCACACAUAAAAGAGUUGGAUGGUUGAACUUAACAGGGCUUGAGUUUUGCUAAGCAUGUGGAACAAGAAGAUGAAUAUCAGCGAGAAUCUGAUUGAAAUGAAGGAAUCUAAACUAGAUAGGAUGUGGCUGACAUACAGAGAAAUU
rnacentral:lncRNA from 1 species